rnacentral:rRNA from 1 species
AGAGUUUGAUCCUGGCUCAGAACGAACGCUGGCGGCGUGCUUAACACAUGCAAGUCGAGUGCGCGCCUGUAGCAAUACAGGUGGCGCACGGCGCACGGGUGCGUAACACGUGGGUAACCUGCCCUUUGGUGGGGAAUAACUCCGCGAAAGCGGAGCUAAUUCCGCAUAAGAUCCGCAAGGAUGAAAGCCGCAAGGCGCCGAUGGAGGGGCCCGCGCCCGAUUAGCUAGUUGGUAGGGUAAUGGCCUACCAAGGCUUUGAUCGGUAGCUGGUCUGAGAGGAUGGCCAGCCACACUGGAACUGAGACACGGUCCAGACUCCUACGGGAGGCAGCAGUGGGGAAUUGUUCGCAAUGGGCGCAAGCCUGACGACGCAACGCCGCGUGGAGGAUGAAGAUCUUCGGGUCGUAAACUCCUUUCGAUCGAGACGAACGGCCUCUGGGUGAACAAUCCGGAGGAGUGACGGUACCGAGAGAAGAAGCCCCGGCUAACUCCGUGCCAGCAGCCGCGGUAAUACGGGGGGGGCAAGCGUUGUUCGGAAUUACUGGGCGUAAAGGGCUCGUAGGCGGCCAACUCAGUCACACGUGAAAUCCCUCGGCUUAACCGGGGAACUGCGUGUGAUACUGGAUGGCUUGAGUUUGGGAGAGGGAUGCGGAAUUCCAGGUGUAGCGGUGAAAUGCGUAGAUAUCUGGAGGAACACCGGUGGCGAAGGCGGCAUCCUGGACCAACACUGACGCUGAGGAGCGAAAGCCAGGGGAGCAAACGGGAUUAGAUACCCCGGUAGUCCUGUCCUAAACGAUGAUGCUUGUGUGCGGGUAUCGAUCCCUGCCGUGGCCGAGCUUACGCCAUUAAGCAUUCCGCCUGGGGAGUACGGUCGCAAGCUGAAACUCAAGGGAUUUGAACGGGGGGCCG